rnacentral:rRNA from 1 species
CCUACGGGUGGCAGCAGUGGGGAAUAUUGGGCAAUGGGGGCAACUCUGACCCAGCCACGCCGCGUGAAGGAUGAAGGCCUUAGGGUUGUUAACUUAUGUUGUAAAGGAAGAAAAGAAUGAUGGUACUUUACAAUAAAGCCUCGGCUAACUAUGUGCCAGCAGCCGCGCUAAGACAUAGGGGGCAAGCGUUGUUCGGAAUUACUGGGCGUAAAGGGAGCGUAGGCGGGAGAUUAAGUUAAGAGUGAAAGCCUUGGGCUCAACCCAAGCAAUGCUCUGAAUACUGGUUUUCUAGAGUGUGGGGGAGGGAAGUGGAAUUCCUGGUGUAGCGGUAGAAUGCGUAGAGAUGAGGAGGAACAUCAGAGGCGAAGGCGGCUUACUGGACCAUAACUGACGCUGAGGCUCGAAAGCGUGGGGAGCAAACAGGAUUAGAUACCCCUGUAGUC